rnacentral:rRNA from 1 species
UGGGGAAUAUUGGACAAUGGGCGAAAGCCUGAUCCAGCCAUGCCGCGUGUGUGAAGAAGGUCUUCGGAUUGUAAAGCACUUUAAGUUGGGAGGAAGGGCAUUAACCUAAUACGUUAGUGUUUUGACGUUACCGACAGAAUAAGCACCGGCUAACUCUGUGCCAGCAGCCGCGGUAAUACAGAGGGUGCAAGCGUUAAUCGGAAUUACUGGGCGUAAAGCGCGCGUAGGUGGUUUGUUAAGUUGGAUGUGAAAUCCCCGGGCUCAACCUGGGAACUGCAUUCAAAACUGACUGACUAGAGUAUGGUAGAGGGUGGUGGAAUUUCCUGUGUAGCGGUGAAAUGCGUAGAUAUAGGAAGGAACACCAGUGGCGAAGGCGACCACCUGGACUAAUACUGACACUGAGGUGCUAAAGCGUGGGAGCAAACA